rnacentral:rRNA from 1 species
AUUGAACGCUGGCGGCAGGCCUAACACAUGCAAGUCGAACGAGUGGCGGACGGGUGAGUAAUGUCUGGGAAACUGCCCGAUGGAGGGGGAUAACUACUGGAAACGGUAGCAAAUACCGCAUACCAUCGGAUGUGCACAGAUGGGAUUAGCUAGUGGGUGGGGUAACGGCACACCAAGCCGACGAUCUCUAGCUGGUCUGAGAGGAUGACCAGCCACACUGGGACUGAGACACGGCCCAGACUCCUACGGGAGGCAGCAGUGGGGAAUAUUGCACAAUGGGGGCAACCCUGAGGCAGCCAUGCCGCGUGUAUGAAGAAGGCCUUCGGGUUGUAAAGUUCUUUCAGUAGCGAGGCGUUAACUACAGAAGAAGCACCGGCUAACUCCGUGUCAGCAGCCGCGGUAAUUC